rnacentral:rRNA from 1 species
CCCUUAGAGUUUGAUCCUGGCUCAGGAUGAACGCUAGCUACAGGCUUAACACAUGCAAGUCGAGGGGAAACGAUAGAGAAAGCUUGCUUUUUCUAGGCGUCGACCGGCGCACGGGUGAGUAACGCGUAUCCAACCUGCCCACCACUUGGGGAUAACCUUGCGAAAGUAAGACUAAUACCCAAUGAUAUCUCAAGAAGACAUCUGAAUGAGAUUAAAGAUUCAUCGGUGAUGGAUGGGGAUGCGUCUGAUUAGCUUGUUGGCGGGGUAACGGCCCACCAAGGCUACGAUCAGUAGGGGUUCUGAGAGGAAGGUCCCCCACAUUGGAACUGAGACACGGUCCAAACUCCUACGGGAGGCAGCAGUGAGGAAUAUUGGUCAAUGGGCGAGAGCCUGAACCAGCCAAGUAGCGUGCAGGAUGACGGCCCUAUGGGUUGUAAACUGCUUUUAUAAGGGGAUAAAGUGAGUCUCGUGAGACUUUUUGCAUGUACCUUAUGAAUAAGGACCGGCUAAUUCCGUGCCAGCAGCCGCGGUAAUACGGAAGGUCCGGGCGUUAUCCGGAUUUAUUGGGUUUAAAGGGAGCGUAGGCCGGAGAUUAAGCGUGUUGUGAAAUGUAGAUGCUCAACAUCUGCACUGCAGCGCGAACUAGUUUCCUUGAGUACGCACAAAGUGGGCGGAAUUCGUGGUGUAGCGGUGAAAUGCUUAGAUAUCACGAAGAACUCCGAUUGCGAAGGCAGCUCACUGGAGCGCAACUGACGCUGAAGCUCGAAAGUGCGGGUAUCGAACAGGAUUAGAUACCCUGGUAGUCCGCACGGUAAACGAUGGAUGCCCGCUGUUGGUCUGAAUAGGUCAGCGGCCAAGCGAAAGCAUUAAGCAUCCCACCUGGGGAGUACGCCGGCAACGGUGAAACU